GGGGUUGUAGCUCAGUGGUAGAGUGCUUGCCUUGCAAGCAUGAGACCCUGGGUUCGAUCCCCAGCACCACA
rnacentral:tRNA from 1 species